rnacentral:rRNA from 1 species
GAUGGGCAUGCGUCGCAUUAGUUAGUUGGCGGUGUAACGGACCACCAAGACGACGAUGCGUAGGGGUUCUGAGAGGAAGGUCCCCCACACUGGUACUGAGACACGGACCAGACUCCUACGGGAGGCAGCAGUGAGGAAUAUUGGUCAAUGGGCGGGAGCCUGAACCAGCCAAGUCGCGUGAGGGAUGACGGCCCUAUGGGUUGUAAACCUCUUUUGCCGGGGAGCAAAGUGCCGCACGUGUGCGGUUUGGAGAGUACCCGGAGAAAAAGCAUCGGCUAACUCCGUGCCAGCAGCCGCGGUAAUACGGAGGAUGCGAGCGUUAUCCGGAUUUAUUGGGUUUAAAGGGUGCGUAGGCGGACGCUUAAGUCAGCGGUAAAAUUGCGGGGCUCAACCUCGUCGAGCCGUUGAAACUGGGUGCCUUGAGUGGGCGAGAAGUACGCGGAAUGCGUGGUGUAGCGGUGAAAUGCAUAGAUAUCACGCAGAACUCCGAUUGCGAAGGCAGCGUACCGGCGCCCAACUGACGCUGAAGCACGAAGGCGUGGGUAUCGAACAGGAUUAGAUACCCUGGUAGUCCACGCAGUAAACGAUGAAUG